GUGGGGAAUCUUGCGCAAUGGGCGAAAGCCUGACGCAGCCAUGCCGCGUGAAUGAUGAAGGUCCUAGGAUUGUAAAAUUCUUUCACCGGGGACGAUAAUGACGGUACCCGGAGAAGAAGCUCCGGCUAACUUCGUGCCAGCAGCCGCGGUAAUACGAAGGGGGCUAGCGUUGCUCGGAAUUACUGGGCGUAAAGGGCGCGUAGGCGGACAGCUUAGUCAGAGGUGAAAGCCCAGGGCUCAACCUUGGAAUUGCCUUUGAUACUGGCUGUCUUGAGUUUGGGAGAGGUGAGUGGAACUCCGAGUGUAGAGGUGAAAUUCGUAGAUAUUCGGAAGAACACCAGUGGCGAAGGCGACUCACUGGCCCAAUACUGACGCUGAGGCGCGAAAGCGUGGGGAGCAAACAGGAUUAGAAACCCUUGUAGUCC
rnacentral:rRNA from 1 species